rnacentral:rRNA from 1 species
AAUAUACCCUCCAUGAAAAAGGGAGUAAUAAUCCUUAUUAGAGAACAACACUUCUAAAAAUUAAAACAUUAAUUUAUAAUGAUCCGAUAUUCGAUCAACGAACCAAGUUACCCUGGGGAUAACAGCGCAAUCUGCCUCAAGAGCCCCUAUCGACAGGCGGGUUUACGACCUCGAUGUUGGAUCAGGGCAUCCCAGUGGUGCAGCAGCUACUAAAGGUUCGUUUGUUCAACGAUUAAAACCCU